GUUCCUGCUUCAGACUGCAGACCAGGGCUUGGAUUUGGCUGUGUUCCUCUGCUGAAGGUUACAGCUACUGCCACACAGCUGUCUUUGUACAGAUCUCCCCAGAUAAAGCCACAAUGUAAGGUUCCAGAUGGCCACACUUAUUUGGAGACACCAUUUAACACAAUUCUACUUCUACUUCCAUGAGUACCUGGUGAAGAAGACACAGCCAGAGCUUUGAUCAAAGAUUCCAAAUGCAAAUAUAACUAACCAUCCAACUGGUCCCAUCAGCCAAUGUAUCUCUUUGUUACCUCAAGGGAGAUUGAUUUAUGUUUUCAUCAAUAAAUCUUCAUAUUUUCAA
rnacentral:lncRNA from 1 species